AUUGAACGCUGGCGGCAUGCUUUACACAUGCAAGUCGAACGGUAACAGGCCGCAAGGUGCUGACGAGUGGCGAACGGGUGAGUAAUGCAUCGGAACGUGCCCAGUCGUGGGGGAUAACGCAGCGAAAGCUGUGCUAAUACCGCAUACGAUCUAUGGAUGAAAGCGGGGGACCGUAAGGCCUCGCGCGAUUGGAGCGGUCGAUGUCAGAUUAGGUAGUUGGUGGGGUAAAGGCCUACCAAGCCAACGAUCUGUAGCUGGUCUGAGAGGACGACCAGCCACACUGGGACUGAGACACGGCACAGACUCCUACGGGAGGCAGCAGUGGGGAAUUUUGGACAAUGGGCGCAAGCCUGAUCCAGCAAUGCCGCGUGCAGGAAGAAGGCCUUCGGGUUGUAAACUGCUUUUGUACGGAGCGAAAAGGCUCUCUCUAAUACAGGGGGCUCAUGACGGUACCGUAAGAAUAAGCACCGGCUAACUACGUGCCAGCCGCCGCCGUAAGAC
rnacentral:rRNA from 1 species